UACGGAGGGUGCAAGCGUUACUCGGAAUCACUGGGCGUAAAGCGCACGUAGGCGGCGAUCAAAGUCAGGGGUGAAAUCCCGGGGCUCAACCCCGGAACUGCCCUUGAAACUAGGUUGCUAGAAUCCUGGAGAGGUUAGUGGAAUUCCGAGUGUAGAGGUGAAAUUCGUAGAUAUUCGGAAGAACACCAGUGGCGAAGGCGACUAACUGGACAGGUAUUGACGCUGAGGUGCGAAAGCGUGGGGAGCAAACAGG
rnacentral:rRNA from 1 species